rnacentral:rRNA from 1 species
GGGGUGCAGCAGGCGCGAAAACUUUGCAAUGCGGGAAACCGUGACAAGGGAACUCUGAGUGCCCGUUAAAUCGGGCUGUCCAUCGGUUUAAAUAACCGGUGAAGAAAGGGCCGGGCAAGACCGGUGCCAGCCGCCGCGGUAAUACCGGCGGCUCGAGUGGUGGCCACUAUUACUGGGCUUAAAGCGUUCGUAGCUGGUUUGUUAAGUCUCUGGGGAAAUCUUCCGGCUUAACCGGAAGGCGUCUCAGGGAUACUGGCAAACUAGGGACCGGGAGAGGUGAGAGGUACUCCAGGGGUAGGAGUGAAAUCCUGUAAUCCUUGGGGGACCACCUGUGGCGAAGGCGUCUCACCAGAACGGCUCCGACAGUGAGGGACGAAAGCUGGGGGAGCAAACCGGAUUAGAUACCCGGGUAGUCCCAGCUGUAAACGAUGCGCGUUAGGUGUAUCGGUGACCACGAGUCACCGAGGUGCCAAAGAGAAAUCGUGAAACGUGCCGCCUGGGAAGUACGGUCGCAAGGCUGAAACUUAAAGGAAUUGGCGGGGGAGCAC